rnacentral:rRNA from 1 species
CCGUUGCAAGGGACUCCGAAGAGCUGUGGCAAGGGGUGAAAAGCCAAUCUAACCUGGAGAUAGCUGGUCUUCUGCGAAACCCGUUUUAGCGGGUCGCCCAUUUAUUGAAAUUAAAUUCGUUACUAGACGGUACGGCACUGGAAGCCACGCAGCUUUUGCUGCAUAAUCGGGGGGCUGUCAUGGCUCUAUCGAUGGCUUCUAACCCCGGAAAUGUAUAGUAUACAAUGAUGGGCAAUCAGACGUAUCGUGAUAAGGCGAUUCGUCAAAAGGGCAACAGCCCAGAACAGGUGUGAAGGUCCCUAACAAGCUACUGAGUGAACACAAGGCAGUCCUCUCCAGUGUCUCUCCACAAAGUGGGCUUGGAAGCAGCCACCUUUUAGCGAUAGCGUAACAGCUCAGUGGUCUGAGCCUCCCUGUAAAAAGGGAAUAUUGCCUGGUGAGGGCGCCAAAAAUGUAACGGGUCUAUAGUAGUUGUCUCUCUGUUCCAGCUUUGGAUAUGGAGGGAGUGGCAGUUUCUUCACUGUCUCACCGAAACCCUGUCCUAGAUGUAAAAUUCUAGGGGUAGCAGAAUACCCAGCAAAUGGAAUGAAGCUUGCUCAUUGAGCCGGUGGACAUAGCUGGGCUAAGAAUGCUGACAUGAGUAGCCUAAAAGGAGGGUAAUUCCCUCUUCGCCGAAAGCAGAAGGGUUUCAUUUGUAAGGUCUAUACCUAGAUGAUUAAAGCAGCGGCCUCUAAGGUUCAGAGUAACAAAUUAGUUCCGAUGAGUAACUCUUCUAUAGGGCAGUAACCUUCCUUAUAAGUUUACCUUCAAGUAAUUAGAGGUAUACUUCAAAGAGUAAGGUUCGGGAAAGAGCCCUACAGAAUCAAUCUUAAAACCGUACCCUAAACCGACACAGGUCUGCAAGUAGAGCAUACUAAGGCGUAGAGAUAAUCGUCUUGAAGGAACUCGGCAAAAUGACCCCGUAACUUCGGGAGAAGGGGUGCCACUAAUAAGUGGCGGCACUAAACAGGGGGGCGCGACCACC